rnacentral:rRNA from 1 species
AGUGAACGCUGGCGGUAGGCCUAACACAUGCAAGUCGAACGGCAGCACAGUAAGAGCUUGCUCUUACGGGUGGCGAGUGGCGGACGGGUGAGGAAUACAUCGGAAUCUACUCUUUCGUGGGGGAUAACGUAGGGAAACUUACGCUAAUACCGCAUACGACCUACGGGUGAAAGCAGGGGAUCUUCGGACCUUGCGCGAUUGAAUGAGCCGCUGUUGGAUUAGCUAGUUGGCUGGGUAAAGGCCCACCAAGGCGACGAUCCGUAGCUGGUCUGAGAGGAUGAUAACCCGCACGAGAACUGAGACAGCGUCCGGGCUCCUGAGAGAGGCAGCAGUCGGGAAUGUUGGACAGCAGGCGCGAACCUGGUCCAACCGUACCGCGUCGGAGGAGACGGCCUUGGGGUUGUAAUGCCCUUUUGUUGGGAAAAAAAAGCAGCAGGUUGAUACGCCGCUUUACUGACGGUACCCAAUAAAUAAGCACCGGCUAACUUCGUG